UACGUAGGGUGCAAGCGUUAAUCGGAAUUACUGGGCGUAAAGCGUGCGCAGGCGGUUGUGCAAGACCGAUGUGAAAUCCCCGGGCUCAACCUGGGAAUGGCAUUGGUGACUGCACGGCUAGAGUGUGUCAGAGGGGGGUAGAAUUCCACGUGUAGCAGUGAAAUGCGUAGAGAUGUGGAGGAACACCGAUGGCGAAGGCAGCCCCCUGGGUCAAGAUUGACGCUCAUGCACGAAAGCGUGGGGAGCAAACAGG
rnacentral:rRNA from 1 species